AAUUAAAUAUAACAAACGAAAGUAAGAGAAAAAAACGGAAUGAAAUAAAAAGAGAUAUAUUUUUUGAACAUGUUUUUCAGAAAUUUAAUUGACAUAGAGUCGUAAUAAAGAUAGAAAGAAAAUGUCAAUGAAUACGUAGAAGGCUUCGUCGACUGGGGGGAGCUAGCUUGUUCGUAAAUACUCGCGAACGGUCGUGUCUUUCGUCCGAUUUUUCACAGGAAGAAACAGAGUUCGUCGAAUGUACGCAGACAUUCGCUCGCUUGUCUUCGCCGAGAACCGCGUGAGUACACACUCGAUUCUCAAGGAAUCUCUAUCGCGCUCGUGAUCGACAGACAAUGAGAAUGUGAAAUUUCAAAAAAAAAAAACAAACGACGUGCAUUUGAA